GAUGAACGCUGGCGGCGUGCCUAAUACAUGCAAGUCGAGCGAACAGACGAGGAGCUUGCUUCUCUGAUGUUAGCGGCGGACGGGUGAGUAACACGUGGAUAACCUACCUAUAAGACUGGGAUAACUUCGGGAAACCGGAGCUAAUACCGGAUAAUAUAUUGAACCGCAUGGUUCAACAGUGAAAGACGGUCUUGCUGUCACUUAUAGAUGGAUCCGCGCUGCAUUAGCUAGUUGGUAAGGUACCGGCUUACCAAGGCAACGAUGCGUAGCCGACCUGAGAGGGUGAUCGGCCACACUGGAACUGAGACACGGUCCAGACUCCUAAGGGAGGCAGCAGUAGGGAAUCUUCCGCAAUGGGCGAAAGCCUGACGGAGCAACGGCGCGUGAGUGAUGAAGGUCUUCGGAUCGUAAAACUCUGUUAUUAGGGAAGAACAAAUGUGUAAGUAACUGUGCACAUCUUGACGGUACCUAAUCAGAAAGCCACGGCUAACUACGUG
rnacentral:rRNA from 1 species